CAUUUGGGACGAAGAGCAACGUGAAGAGAUUCAAGAGCUGUCAUUUCAUACAGAAAAACCAUCGGUUUGCUGUCGUAUGUGAAUUUCGAUAAUAAACAAUAAGAAAGUGCGAAUGUCUAAAUAUUUAUUCCCAACUGAUAAGAAAGAACGUGCUUUGUUAUCGCUGCAGGAAUACCAUAGAGCUGAGCGCAAAAUGCGUAUUCAAGUACUUAUCAAUUGAUAAGACAUCAAAUAUCGCAAUUAAUUUGCGCACGACAUUCCAGCAACAUUGCCAAUUUGGAUUAGCAAUAUUAAGUCAAUUGGUGCGCGCCCCUGUUGUAUAAAACAGUUCUGUAUUAUUAUCGAGCAUCGCAGUCAUUCAUCACAGUUUGAUUAAACAAUACAAAAAUAAAAUAGUAACUCAAAAAAAUUUUUAAGUACAAAAUGGUCUGUCAGCAAUGUAUUAACGCCUCGAAAUGCAACAUUUGCAAAAACUGCGUCAAGUGUUGCCAGAUUUGCGCGGCGAGUGGCAACCGUUGCUGUACUGUUAGCUCCAGAAAGACAUGUUGCGUUAGCAAAAAAGUUCCGUCAUCAAAUUUUAAGUUAUUUCAGUGUUAAGAGUUAGUUUCAGUUAAAACUAAACGUAUUGAAUAUUGUAUUUAUUUAUUAAAAAUCUGUGUUUACCUUGCCAUGCUAUUGAUAAAACUCUGUAUAAUAGCUUGUUAUUGUAUAAACUUAAGAGAAUGGAAACAGAACACAUUCUAAGAAUUUUCAUGAAAACCAUUAUAUACACACAUCUGCAACAGAUGAUGAAUUGUAUACAAAUUUUACAACGUUUUACCUUGAAUUAAACGCUGAUUGAGAGAAAAAAA
rnacentral:lncRNA from 1 species